GGUCAGGUCUAGUGGCAACACCCUUGCUAGACAUGCAAAGACCCUGGGUUCAAUUCCCAGUCUGGCCA